rnacentral:rRNA from 1 species
UACGUAGGUGGCAAGCGUUGUCCGGAUUUACUGGGCGUAAAGGAUGCGUAGGCGGACAUUUAAGUCAGAUGUGAAAUACCCGAGCUUAACUUGGGUGCUGCAUUUGAAACUGGGUGUCUAGAGUGCAGGAGAGGUGAGUGGAAUUCCUAGUGUAGCGGUGAAAUGCGUAGAGAUUAGGAAGAACACCAGUGGCGAAGGCGGCUUUCUGGACUGUAACUGACGCUGAGGCAUGAAAGCGUGGGGAGCAAACAGG